GCCCCGCUCCUGGCUCCGCCCUCAGGCCUACCCCCACCCAGGCUCCGCCCCUUGCCCCCUGCCCCCAGCCCGAGAGGUCAGGGAGAAGCCGCGGAGACCCGCAGCGCGCUCUUCCGCCCCUCCGUCCCCGCCCCGGCUCCCGCCCUCCCCAGCCCCGCCCCUCCGCAGAGCCCCGCCCCCGGAGACUUGGGUCCCUGCCCAGAGACCCCCAGCCCUACGUCCCCCCCGGACCCCCCCGAAGGGCCCGCGGGCUCGGGGAGUCCGGCCAGAGCCCUGUGACCCGUCGGCGGUGACACGUCCACCCUGUGGACCACAGGGUCAGGCGCGCCUCCCCAAGACUCACAACGACGAGAACUACGUCUAAGAGCGCAGCUCACCUGCACACUUCACGUUCCGACUUUCAGACGCCGUGACCAGCCGUCUGACCUCGGGCAAGUUACUCAGACUCGUCUGCCAGGGCCGCGUGGACGCCCGCCGCCCCCGCCCGUGCAGGGCUCUGCGGGGUGAGGGCCCGUGCGCGCUCGUGCCCGGCGCACAGGGACCCCGCGCGCACGCGCUGGAGAGAGCGCGCAGAGAGGGGGACGGAGUGGGGGUGCACCGGGACCCCUCCAGUGCAGGCGGCAGCGCACAGCUGAGUGCAGGGAGACUUGAGGCCCGCCUCUGGCUCUGUUCAGCCUGCAGCAGGUUCAACUGUGGCCUCAGUUGGCUCAUCUGCAAAACAGGGGUAAGAAUCAUGCCUCCUCCGACAUUUCCAUGGCAGUCAGGGGAUGCCUGGCACACACGUGGUGAUCAACCCGGUAUUUUCCCACCCAGCCGGACCGUCAGCAUUCCUCGGGUCUCGGCCAGCUUCUCCUCUGGUCUGCUGUGCUCCUCCCUGGAUCAGCCUCUGAUCUUCAUGGUUCAAAGCCCACGUCUGUCCACAGCCAGUCCCGCGUCGCAUCCUCCCGGCCCCCCUGCCGGGUCAUCACCUCUUAAGACAGCUCUGCCUUUCCAACAAGUCUUCAAAACCCAGCAUAUCUGCAAACGAGCACGCACUGAACUACAUAGUUCCGG